rnacentral:rRNA from 1 species
CGCGCCAGAGAGGGUGAGAGCCCCGUAAGCGAAAUCCAAAGAAGGCCUAUCAGUAUCCUGAGUAGGGCGGGACACGUGAAAUCCCGUUUGAAUCCGCGAGGACCAUCUCGCAAGGCUAAAUACUAACCAGUGACCGAUAGUGAACCAGUACCGUGAGGGAAAGGUGAAAAGAACCCCGGGAGGGGAGUGAAAGAGAACCUGAAACCGUGUGCCUACAAGUAGUCAGAGCCCGUUAACGGGUAAUGGCGUGCCUUUUGUAGAAUGAACCGGCGAGUUGCGUUAGUCAGCAAGGUUAAGUCAGAAAAGACGGAGCCGCAGCGAAAGCGAGUCUGAAGAGGGCGAGCAGUUGGCUGACGCAGACCCGAAACCAAGUGACCUACCCAUGACCAGGUUGAAGGCGCGGUAAAACGCGCUGGAGGACCGAACCCACGUAAGUUGAAAAUUGCGGGGAUGAGUUGUGGGUAGCGGUGAAAUUCCAAACGAACUUGGAGAUAGCUGGUUCUCUCCGAAAUAGCUUUAGGGCUAGCCUCGCAAAGAGGAUGCUGGAGGUAGAGCUCUGUUUGGACUAGGGGCCCGUCAAGGGUUACUGAAUUCAGAUAAACU